rnacentral:rRNA from 1 species
AACGAACGCUGGCGGCGCGCCUAAUACAUGCAAGUCGAGCGAGAAGACGUAGCAAUACGUUUGUAAAGCGGCGAACGGGUGAGGAAUACAUGGGUAACCUACCCUCGAGUGGGGAAUAACUAGCCGAAAGGUUAGCUAAUACCGCGUACGCUCCUUGGACUUCGGUUCAGGGAGGAAAGCGAUACCGUGGGUAUCGCGCUCUUGGAUGGGCUCAUGUCCUAUCAGCUUGUUGGUGAGGUAACGGCUCACCAAGGCUUCGACGGGUAGCUGGUCUGAGAGGACGAUCAGCCACACUGGCACUGCGAC